CAGGAUGUGAGUCCCCCAGAAACCAGUACUCAGAAACAUGCCUUGCCUGAUGCUGAAGGCCAUACUCCACCAUCGUGACUGGGCACUCUUGCUGGUCACCCAUGCCCCAGAGAUUCAUUCAUCCCUUAUCUGGGGCUGCAAGCUUAAAGUGAACUGACUACAAGUGUGACAUCAGCAAAGAGCAAAAAUUUGGGACAUCUCAGCAAAUAUAGGUAAUCAUUAAGCUGCCUCACUUUAUCCAGAAACAAGCUCCAAAUGAGUUAG